AGUGAGCGCACAGCAUCACUCCCUUCGCACUCACCGUAACUGAAAAACACGCGCACGCGCAAAGCCGCUUGACCACACCACAUUGCACCCCUACCCUCCACUCGAUCGACGUAUUUCGAGUUUGACGGGGGUCGGAGCAGUGACGUUUUCCAAGCGCGGGUGCCCUCCCGCCUGUGCUCUGCUCUUCACGACAGAGAAAGCGAAAGGAGGGCAAACGCGCGCGCCAGGGCACGCGUUGGUUGAUCGUGUUGUUUUCUCUUUCUUUCGGGGGGUGUGAAGCUAUUGAGGUGCGCCAGUGGCGGCGGCGGUUGCCGAGUUUUGUUUCCCUCCCUCCCUCUGCGCGUCAGUUUUCCGCUCCUCGGCCGCUGUCCUUUUGUUUUCUACCAUGGCGGAUGCCAGCGUCGAGAAUGAGCGCAGCGUUCGCGUCGCGGAUGAGCUGCGGCGGGAAGUGUACGAGUGCCCCAGCUGCUUGGAGCGGGUGAAGCUGCAGCAACCCAUUUGGUCAUGUAAAGAGUGCUUUCAAAUCUACCACUUCGCCUGCAUUCGGCGAUGGGCACAGGUGGACCGCGACACCGUCGUCUUCUCGUGUCCGCAGUGCCGCCACAUGCAACCGAAGCCGCUGACGGAUCUGUGCUUCUGUGGGAAGGUGUCGAAGCCGAAGUACGACCCGCUCGUGACGCCCCACUCGUGCGGGCGCCUCUGCGGACUUGUGAGGCCGUUUUGCACGCACAGGUGCCCUGCGCAGUGCCAUCCUGGCCCUUGCCCGCGAUGCCAGCUGCUGGUGGGGCCCCAGCGGUGUCCGUGCGGGGCAACGACCUACACCUAUCCGUGCGGGCAGCCCGACCCGGAGACGACGUGCGGCAAUCCGUGUAGGCGUCCUCUGGCGUGUGGGACGCAUACGUGCCCGCUGUCCUGCCACACCGGGCCGUGUCCGCCUUGCUCGGAGUCGACGACGCUCAUCUGCUACUGCGGCCAAACCACGAAGCGGCAUCCCUGCACAAAGGAGGCAUCGUUUGCGUGUGGAAGCGUGUGCGGUAAGUCACUGCGAUGUGGUAAGCACACGUGCACGCUACUGUGUCACAGCGGCGAGUGCCCACCGUGCCCGGCGGACCCUGCCAGCGUUAACACCUGCCCCUGUGGUGCGUCAGAGCUGCAAACCGUGCGGUACGCAUGCACCGAUCCUAUUCCGCAGUGCGGCCGCAUAUGCGACAAGCCGCUCUCCUGUGGGCAGCACCGGUGCCAGCUGAAGUGCCACGCAGGCGCCUGCCCACCGUGCGAGGUACGCGUGGACGUGUCGUGUCGUUGCCGAAAGGUUCGCAAGCGGCUGUCAUGUGCAGAGUCGCAGAACUUCACCUGCACGUAUGAGUGCGGCACGAAGCUGUCGUGCGGACGACACAAGUGCAAGGUGGUCUGCUGCCAAGACCGCAACAAAACUCAAACAAAUUCGCACAUGUGCUUUCAGGUGUGUGGCCGUCCGCUUCCGUGCGGGCACGCGUGCGAGGACCUCUGCCACGCCUCCACGCAGUGCCCGUCGUGCGUGCACGUCGUGACCGAAACGCUCACGUGCUACUGCGGCGCGGAGGUGCUACGGCCACCGCAGCAGUGCGGCACACAACCGCCCGUAUGCAAGCGAGCCUGCCGCAUCCCACGUCCGUGCGGCCACCCGGUGAGCCACAACUGCCACUUUGGGCCGUGUCCCCCUUGCGGGGCACUCGUCAAACGCCGGUGUCCGAGGCACAACACGUUGAUGACGCUGCCGUGUGGCGUUACGGAUCUGGCGUGCGAGGAAGAGUGCGGGAUGGAGAUGCCCUGCGGGCACUUCUGCGACCGCGUGUGUCACAGUGGACCGUGCGUCGAGGAGGCGAAUCCGUGCCAUCAGCAGUGCGAUCGGCUGCAUGAGGAGUGCGGGCACCGCUGCGCCAAGCCGUGUCACGGCGCCACGCCGUGCCCGCCGUGCUCGGUGUACCUGCGGUGCACGUGCAACUGCGGUCGCGUGACGCGCAGUCUUCCGUGCGCCAAGGUUGGCAAGCGGAAGGCAGAGGGGCCCAACAAGUUUGCGGUGGUUGUCCCAUGCGACAACGACUGCCUCUUUACUCGCCGCCUCGACGUGCUCACGUCGCUUAGCAAGACAAAGAACGAGAAGUUUCUGUAUUCCCUCAUGCUGUGGGACGCCGCGCAGCAGGACGCAUGCGCGGUGCAGCGGGCGGAGCGCCAUCUGAUAAACUUCGUCGAAGGAAAAGAGUCGGUUGUCUCGCUUCCGCCGACCAACUCCGCGACGCGUGCGCUUGUGCACGCACUCGCCAAGUACUUUCACGUGCAUUCCGAAGGCGUUGACAACGAGCCGAACCGCUCGUGUCUGCUGACCAAAACAGGCGCCACCGCUGCACCGCCUGUGCUCCUCAGUGACGCUGUGCGGGACGCGCAGAUGGACCCGCUGCAGUUCCUGAUGCAACGUGCGAAGCCGUCGCUCAAAGAGAAGCUGUGCCUCGUCGUGACUGGCCACCACCUGACCGAAGUCAUGCUGGCGUCGCUGUUGAGCGAUUUGGCCGGUCGAUUUGUCAUCGCCCCACCAGAGGUUGGCAAAGACGGUGCACAGUCGUUUCUCAUUGCCUUCACAACGCACAAGCGCGCGGAAGAGGCGGUAAAGAAGCUGGAGGCAAGCAACACUCAGCGCACCUUCACCGUCGCCCGCGCCACCGCGUAGGACACUCCGCUUGUACGCUCUUGAGAGCGAAGGAGAAGAUGGCAGGGACGGGUGCGAAGACGCCAAGCGCGCACGCACCAACAAAUGCGUGAAUGCGCGAAUGGCUUCCACGGAAUUCUAGUAUGUACGGUAUUGUUUGGCCAUAGUUUUUUUUUUUACUUUUUAAUGUGUGGUUGUAGAUGUGCGGGCGGUUGCUUUUGCUUUCUUCUCUUUGGUGUGCUUGCAUGCUUGCCUAACCUUAACGGCUGGUGAAAGCGUGUAGAUGAUCGACUAAGCGUCUUGGCGCUUUCUUUCUCUUUUUGUUUUCUCAUGUGUCGGCGAUGAAGAAGGUGAUGGUCGUGGUGGCAGUGUGCGCUCAAUGUUGAUGUGAGGUGAUGGUGAAGUGCGGGAACGAGGUCGAGUCUGUGGUGCUAUAGUCGCUGUGCUGUUCAUGGUGUGCGAUGUUUUCUUUGCAUUCCCUUCUUCCCUGUCGUCUGCCGUACUUACCUUCUCUCCUUGCCGCUAUAGCCCCCCCCCCCUCUCGCCGCGCUCUUCUUCCCUCACCCCUCCCCACUGUGUCUGCGGUGGCGAUGUUGUUUGUUCGCCACUGCCCUUUCCUUCGAGCAUCUUUGCGCUUCCUUUUCGUUUUUGUUUGCCCAUUUUUUGUUUUCCUCACCACUUCGUCGCCUAUUGUCUGUUGCCUCUCCGCGGUGUUGUAGGAGUUAGUGUAGGGAGGUCACGACCUCGUCUGGCCACGGGACACCGUGCUGCCAGUAACUCUCGCUGGAGAUGUACAGCGGAGCAAUCCUUGGCAAAUACACGGCAAAGGAGAAAGGAAAGUCCCCUGUUCCCCGCCACAUCCAGUCGCGCACGCGACUACCAAUCGCGUACGUCAAGCGCUGCGGUAUCGGUGAUGUAGCGUCAGCGUGUUCCUCGGCGGCGAUGUCAGUUGCGUGCCGCAUUUUUCCUCUCGCACCGGAGUGCAAUCGAGCAGCCACGCAAAUCUCUCUCUCUCUUGUUGUACGUGUACGGUGGUGUAUUUCGCGGCGGCCUGAAACUUACGUCCUCCGACGCCUUUUCCUCGUCGAUCAACAUGCUUUCACUUCUGUGGGUGCGUGUGUGGCGGAAG
rnacentral:misc_RNA from 1 species